CCCUCGAUCAACAAAUCGCCAUUCGAAGCUCACACACAGAGACACUUGCCCUGCGCAGCGUCUCGCACUCUUGUUUGCUUUGGGAGAAAGUCCCCGGACGACUCCGUUCUUCGGAGCAUGCGGAAACGCGCCGCCAUAAAAGCACUGCGGCUGACCUCUGGUGCCUUGGCCCUCGCGCCGCACCGGCCCUGCCCGCCGCUACAUCUGCCUCUCGCGAUGCCUCGCCGGGCCUGACUGCGCGUCUCCGGCCCCCAUGGAUGAAGAUAUGAGUCCGUGCCGGGUGGCGUGCGCUCAGUGUCCUGGCGGUGGGUGAGCGGUGGCUGAUGGCGGGUGGACGCUCGGUGUCGGCGCGGGUGGUGUCGGGCUCAGUGGAAUCUUGUCGAGAUUGAUAGGUAUGCGAUUGCCCGGCGCAAGCUGGGUUACUCGAUGGGGCUUAUUCUUGAGUCGAGG
rnacentral:RNase_MRP_RNA from 2 species